AUGACAUUUUUUCAUCUCCAUCUUCUUCCUCCCACACCGUUUCCAUACUUCCACCACAUUUUCACUUGACUCCCAUGCAAUUGAAGAGAAAAAUAGGGAGAAUCAGCUAAUGAAAGAAAUGAGAGAAAGGUGGAAGGCUUGAGUAGUAAGUGAUUCAAGAGUAAUUGAAGAAAUAUCAAGUGGGUCUCAAGAUUCAAGAAACAUAAGCUAUGAUGACCAUGGGUGUGAGAAAAUUAUGAAUUUUGUUAGGUGAAAUUCAAGCUAAAAUCAAGUGGUUUGAUGAGGUAAAGGUGACUGGUCCUAGGACAAGGUGCUCCUCCCUAUCCAUUGCUCGGUAGAUUUACCAUGACACUAAAUGUUAGCAACCGUGCCUAGAGUCACUACGCUAACGAUCAAUGUCUAAUUAUGUAUAUAUGAAUGCUUGAUGUGAAAUACUAAGACUCAUUUGUCAAGCUAUAUAUGUAUAUUAUCGUU